GUGGCCUAGUGGUUAGAGCAUCCGCUUUAGAUGCGGGAAGUCGUACUGGGUUCGAUCCCCAGCCGCG